rnacentral:misc_RNA from 1 species
GAUGAAGAACGCAGCGAAAUGCGAUAAGUAAUGCGAAUUGCAGAAUUCCAGUGAGUCAUCGAAUCUUUGAACGCACAUUGCGCCCUUUGGUAUUCCGAAGGGCAUGCCUGUUCGAGCGUCAUUAUCACCCCUCAAGCCCUCGGCUUGGUGUUGGACGGUUUGGUGGAGGCCCCCUCGGGGGUUCCUGCCCCUCCCAAAGACAAUGACGGCGGCCUCGUUGGACCCCCGGUACACUGAGUUCUUCACGGGACACGUAUCGGACACAUGGGUUUACGGGACACGGUCUGCCUCCCCUCAGGGAGAAUCUUUCUAAGGUUGACCUCGGAUCAGGUAGGGAUACCCGCUGAACUUAAGCAUAUCAAUAAGCGGAGGA